GAGCAGGAAGUGCUGGGCAGUUCUCUCUCAAACACUGUCCUGCAUGGUGGGUCAAAGGAGCACAUGGUCCAUGUGUGGAGACCCAGUCAAAUCCUGCAGACGCCUGAUUGUGCCGGUGACACAAUGUCGACCUUGGUUGUCACUAAGCUGGACCGAGACAGACUGGAGGGUGGAGAUGAAUUGCUGCAGGGAUCCUGAGUGUUCAGCAGUGAUCUGUAGUGCAAAGACAGGAUUACAGACGAGGACACGGUGACAUUAUUGUAGAGGUUGGCCCAGACAGACACGUAACAGUGUCCCAUGAGAGAGGGUCUCACCAGCCUCAUGAGUCUGACGUCUCCAGCCGAGCCAAAGUACUCACCAUAUGUUGCCUGAAGCAUCAGUGACCAGUUACUGCAGCAUGAGUGAUCUAAGGACGGGCGUGGGAAAUGAAUAGUUGCUACAAAUUCUGAAAUGCAUUGCAAUUCUCUUUGUAUUGUAUCUCUCCUUAUUAAAUAAACA